UACGUAGGGUGCGAGCGUUAAUCGGAAUUACUGGGCGUAAAGCGUGCGCAGGCGGUUGUGUAAGACAGAUGUGAAAUCCCCGGGCUCAACCUGGGAACUGCAUUUGUGACUGCACAGCUGGAGUGCGGCAGAGGGGGAUGGAAUUCCGCGUGUAGCAGUGAAAUGCGUAGAUAUGCGGAGGAACACCGAUGGCGAAGGCAAUCCCCUGGGCCUGCACUGACGCUCAUGCACGAAAGCGUGGGGAGCACACAGG
rnacentral:rRNA from 1 species